UACGUAGGGGGCAAGCGUUGUCCGGAUUUAUUGGGCGUAAAGAGCUCGUAGGCGGUUCGAUAAGUCGGGUGUGAAACCUCCAGGCUCAACCUGGAGACGCCACCCGAUACUGUUGUGACUAGAGUCCGGUAGGGGAGCGUGGAAUUCCUGGUGUAGCGGUGAAAUGCGCAGAUAUCAGGAGGAACACCAGCGGCGAAGGCGGCGCUCUGGGCCGGAACUGACGCUGAGGAGCGAAAGCGUGGGUAGCAAACAGG
rnacentral:rRNA from 1 species